UAAUAUUAUAUACUUAUCAUACAAUUGAUAUUGUCCGUUCGAUAUAUUUUAAAAUUCCUCCUUGAAUGAAUGAAGAGAUUUUAUUGUGCUGUUUUCUUAUUAAUUAGCACACAAGGAAGGGGGAAAAAAACAAGAGGUACAAAACAAACCACAACAGGAUUCAACCAAAAUAACCAAUUGUUGACUCGUGCACAAGAGGACAAACUACCCGUUCCCACGCGGUUUUGAGCCUAACCAAACGGUCGAAGUCGAUUGAACCAAACCAACCGGCAAUUGGGUUGGAAGGGAACAGUUAAGGUCCCACCGAAUGGCUAAAAACAUGAAGAUCAUGCGGCUCAAAUUCCUCUCGUCACCAAAAUUUAAAUUUCUGUAGCAGACAGGGUUCUAUUUUGGGCCCCACCAUUCAACAGCUGGUGGAUAAAUUAUUGAGAGGACUCACUCAUUGAGCAUGUUAGUGCCUUGUAUUUUCAUUGGAUGUUUGAAAAACUCUUCAAUCCAGUCGGUGAAUGUGAGUCAGGGUUUGAUGCCAGCUGUAACAUCAACUGCCCAACUGCUUCUUGCUAAAGUUGCAUCACAAGGUACACCAUAACACUCCAAAAUCCAUAAAUAUCGCCACGUGGGCGGCUAGGAUGCAAUGAUGAUAUCAGUUCCGUUCAGAUUACCGGGCUUUAAUACCCCAGUCUAUGUUAAGCGCGUGCUCUUUUACGAGCCAUUCACCAGCUAAUUUACCAUUUCUUUUCACUAUAUCAUCACGUUUCGUGCAAAUUCAUUUAGUCUCUGGAAAGCAUAAAAUAAAGAGAGGCAAAUUCAAAUUGUUAAAUCUUUUAUAAAGUCGUAUAUAAGCUGUGGAAAGUUUAUGAGGGUCAAAGUAUUUUUUCUUAUAGAAUUAAAUUAAUGUUUGCAAAAGUUCGAGUGCGCAUUUCUUUGUGAUGAGAUCAUUUACACUCUAAAAACUACUCUAAUACUCUCGUUUUAAUAAAAUAAUUUAUUAUAAAAUUAUUCAUUAUGUGAAUUAUUAUUAAGAAUAAUUUAUUUAUGAGCCAAUGUAACUUAAUUACUUUAAACACUAACAUAGCACCCUCACUAUUCAACAUAUAAUCAUCUUACCACGGACUUUUAAAUUUUUUUUAACAUCUUAAAAAAACACUUCGUUCAAUCUGUAGUAAAUUAAUAUUUUAAAUUAUUUUGAGGACAAAGUAUUUGUGACCCUCAUAUUUUUCAAAAAAUAAAAUAAACUAAAAAUAUUGGAAAGGUGCUCAUAUUUUUUGUCUUUAAUUUAAAAAAAUUAAAAUCUCUUUAAAACCACUAAUCCAGUCGGCAUCUUCUUCUUCUUCUUCUUCUUCUUCUUCUUUGUGUGAUACUGUGAUAUGACAAUUUGUUUUCUAGUUAUUAUUGCGAGUCAAUAAAAGUCCAUACUUCUUGAUCUUAAAGACUUUGAGGGUGUAAAAAUUAAUAUUGAAUACAUUUUUUAAUUAACCAAAACUAAUAAGUAAACUUUUUUUAAAUAAUUUAUUUGAAACUUGACUUAAUUCCAUUGUUGUAAGUUAUGUUAAAUUUCUUGAAAAUUUUAUUCGAGCAUGUUGAAUAAUUUUAUUAGUAUUUUAAGUAAACUAAU
rnacentral:lncRNA from 1 species